rnacentral:misc_RNA from 1 species
AAGGAAAGCUCUUUGUUUUUUGAAAGGGUGCUUUUAUGAGAUAGAGCUUUUUUAGAUAAUGCUUUUUUAGAUAAUGCUGGGGAAGGUUUUCCGGUUUAUCUCGGAGGGCUUGUAGCUCAGUUGGUUAGAGCGCGCGCUUGAUAAGCGUGAGGUCGGAGGUUCAAGUCCUCCCAGGCCCACCAAUUUACCUAUCCAUUUGCCUUUAUCUGUUUAUUUGCCGAUUUAUCGGUCCAUUGAAUUUAAGUGUUGGUAGCAGUUUUAUAAUGAUGAGAAAUCAUGCUUAUAAAAGAACUCCUUAUAAAAGGCUUGUUUUUAAAAUGUGACGCUUAUCCAUUUCGCUUAGGUAAGAGAAACUUCAAGCGGUUCAAAUACAAAAGGCUUUAAGUUUUGCAAAACACUUUGAAUUUUGCAAAACACUUUGAAUUUUAAAGUGAUCCAAGUUCGUGAUCUCGAAUUUAAAAGUUUCGAAUGCUUUAUCCUUUUUUGGGGGCCGUAGCUCAGCUGGGAGAGCACCUGCUUUGCAAGCAGGGGGUCGUCGGUUCA